GACGAACCGAGCGAACGUUGUUCGGAAUCACUGGGCUUAAAGGGCGCGUUAGGCGGGCUGCCGCGUCCGGGGUGAAAUCCCACGGCUCAACCGUGGAACGGCCCCGGGUACGGGCGGCCUCGAGGGGGGUAGGGGCGUGCGGAACUGUGGGUGGAGCGGUGAAAUGCGUUGAUAUCCACAGGAACUCCGGUGGCGAAGGCGGCACGCUGGACCCUCUCUGACGCUGAGGCGCGAAAGCCAGGGGAGCGAACGGG
rnacentral:rRNA from 1 species